rnacentral:sRNA from 1 species
UCCAUGUCUCUUGUACCCUGCAAUCUGGAGGCCCCUGCCAGAAGCGGGAAAUCCCAAGUACAGCAGCAAAAGGUAUGAGGAUUGGCACAAAGUUGUGGCCAAUGGAGGCUCCCCAAAGUGCAUGGAAGGUGGUGGUCCAGUGUCUAAAGGCAGGAGUGCUGGGGCAACCCCAUAGCUGGGGGUCCUAUGGGAGAGACUGAGGAACUUCGGUUUGUGGACUCUCAGUCAACUGUGUUACUGAGGAGGGGAAAGGGAAGUAGAUGAGUUGGUGGUUUGAACAAGACCCAAAUCUUGCUUCUACUUAUAGGUGCUCACAAUGGCCAGUGCCCUGGAAAAGCUCUGGAAUAAAUACACCUGGGCCUUAGAAAGCAGAGGCAGGAGACAAUGCCAUCCAGUGGGAGCUUUCAUUUGUUUCCUCAGCCAGCCUCUGUGUCAGGCUUUUUGGGAACAAGGGCUGGAUGAACAAGACCUUGGGAGUUCUUGUGGGGAGGGACUGGGGGUGAAUGGGCAGUGUGGCUGGCCCGGUGAUCACUUCUCCUCUGCUUGUCUAGGCUUGAGGAUGGAUUCUUGGCUCCUGGUGCAUUGCCACUCCCUGCCACCCUCCUCCUUGUCUUCUGUCUUCUCCUGGUGGCUUCAGGCCUUGCUUCAUGUCCCAAAAGGAGCCUCUGGGGCUGGCACAGCCCUCACUGCCUACAACCUGGGCCUGGUGGUUCUCCUAGGGUGCCUCUGGGAGGUCAUGGCCACCCCGCUGCUGGCUAACUGCAGCUACUUCUGCCAGCCAGUGGACUACAGAUGGAGCAAGCAUGGAAUGAGGGUAUGGCAGGGAGCAGGAAGCAAGCCUAGAGAGGGUUAGGAGGAACAACUUCAUAACAAUCGGAGGUCAAGGAGGCAUCUUCCUGGAGACAGGAAGGUAGGCAUUGUGGAAUCAGCGGUGCGUAGAACAGUGAGGAUUUGGGGCUGAACCCAGCCCAGGUGGGACAAGCCGUGGCACCAGCCGGACUGCAGUCUGAUGGAACUUCCCCUUCCUGCCCAGCAGAUGGCGAGCGUGUGCUGCUGGUGCCUCUUUCCAAAGGACGUUGAAUUGCUUGACAGGUGUUCCAGGUGUUCUUUACUUUAUGAAUGAAGCCGGAGCAGCCCACCUUCCUGCAUCUCUACCACCAUGGCACCAUGCCCUGUGAUGGGUGGGCUGGAGUCAAAUACGUAGCAGGCAACCAGGGUCAGUUUGUGGCCACUGCUGCCCCCUCUUCCUACAGUCUCCUCACUGAGUGCCCCUUCCCUGUUGGGUUCAACACAUCUGUGCUCCUGUAAGCCCUCAGCCUCCUGGUUCUCUUCCUCAACUUCUACCACCAGACACAUCUGAGAAGCAAGCAAGAGAGGCUGAACUAGGAGCAGGACCCAGGGACUGAAACCAUCACAGCAUCCCCACAGAGAAUUGGGUGGAAGGCAGCGUGGCUUCCAGCUUACUGGUGCUGAGCAGAUUUCUCUGGGUCUCCAUUGUAUCCUCUGAAGGAAGGAGGAGGAUUGCCUUCUGUCCAGAUCUCAGGAUCAAACAAAUAGGUCCAACUUCCUGUGCUCACUUCAGUUAGAGCACUUCUCAUGUGACUUUGUAGCUUUGUGUGCAUCUCCUUCCUCUACUAGACCUAAGCCCCUCACGGGAGGGACUCUCUUAUUCUUGAUGUUCCCCACACCUGGAAUUUCAAUAAACAUCUCAAUAAACGUG